ACUAUCCCGCGGCUACUAUCUUAAUAACUCACACUUCAACGAACAAGCUGUAGAACUCCUCAAACAUAGCCCGCUGUUACACCCGUGAAGACACAUCUGCCGCCAAAUACUGUGGGCUCCUCAGAAUAAGACUCACUAUCCUGCGGCUACUGCCUUGAUGAAUCACACGUCGACGAACAAGCCGUUGAGCUCCAUAGAAGUAAGCCCGAUGCUACUCCCCUAAUGACACCCACGCUAUUGAACAGGAUGUCAAGCUCCUCAGAAGUAACCCUAUGUAGCCUAUGGCUGCUCGACUCAUUACGCACGUCACCAAACGAGCCCAGAAGUAAGUACGGCUAAUCGCCUAACGACUUACACCGAAGAAACUGAUGUUCUCCUCAGAAGUAAGCCCACCUGGCCUGCGACUAUUCCACUGAUGAUACACGCAUCACUAUACAAGCCAUUGAACUCUUCAGAAGUAAGCCUGCUACUACUCCCCUGAUGACACAAACGCUACGAAACGAGCUGUCGAACUCCUGAGAAGUAAACCUAUCUAUCCCACGGCUACUCCUACUCAUACCGAUUUAGAGAUGGUCAGUCGCAUGCCUGAAUUAUCAGGGUAAAUAAGUACUUAAUACUCAUACGCUAUUAACGAAAUAUUAUCAUCUCCCGUGAACCAACCGUAAGUUAUAGGAAAAUUAGUGACUAAACCUACCAGGCUAUACAAUACAAAUAUUACAUUAUUUUAAAACAGACUGCUAUUGUAUAAUUAGGGAUGUGUUUACAGAGCGUUGGUAAAGAACGAACAUAUUAUGUAUUACAUUGAUUGUUAUCGGAACCAAUUAAUUCUUUUGGUGUUUUAAAAAAACUAAGUUAUUUAUCGUUAUGUUUUUCAUCCACAAAAACAAUACUACUGACUACCUCGUGAAUUUUGUACUCAUCGAGAUAACUUGUGAUGGAAAUAUGAUAAUGCAAAAUCGAUACAAAUAAGACUCAUUGAAUAUGAUGACGGUAAGCGCACACGUACUGACAUCGAAUUCGUAUUUUAAUAACGAUUUAUCGCAUUGUUGUGUCGCACUGUAAAUAGCACCACUGAAUUAUUGUUCAACGUUUACUAGUGUUUGCUACGAAUUUACUAUUAUAUUUCAUAUAAGACAA